CACGUAGGGGACGAGCGUUGUCCGGAUUCAUUGGGCGUAAAGCGCGCGUAGGCGGCUUUUCAAGCGUGUGGUGAAAGCUCGGGGCUCAACCCCGAGUCGGCCAUGCGAACUGGGAGGCUUGAGCACGGUAGAGGCACAUGGAAUUCCGGGUGUAGCGGUGGAAUGCGUAGAUAUCAGGAGGAACACCGGUGGCGAAGGCGGGAUCCUGGGCCAGUACUGACGCUGAGGAGCGAAAGCGUGGGGAGCAAACAGG
rnacentral:rRNA from 1 species